UUAUUUAGCAAAUAAAUAAAAAACUUGUACUGCCAUGUAGCGAUUUCGAUAGACGACGCCUUCAAGGGAGGAGGAGUCUACAACAUAUUGAAUUUAUCGAUCGAUUGUUAGGCCGAUUUCGAUCAGCAUUGUAUAGUUAAUGAAUGACCACUUGACGAGAUCUUGACACGCACGUUGGAAGUGUACGCGUGUUUGCACCUCGAUGAGCGUUGCACAAUAACAAAGCUCCGUUGGUGAGCGUAUUGAUUAAUAAAGGUAUUUAAGGCAUUAUCCAAUUAGUCAUGCCAUAAUGUCUCACUUUGUUGGCAGCUAGGUGAAGUCCUUGAGUGCCUCAAGGACUUUGUUUUGUUUUAGCAGUAUUUUUUCCUUCAACAAUUAAUCUUGCAUCUCCAACCAUGGAAUGAGUUACAUGUGACUCGAGACAAACAAACAGUGCAAUUGCAACAAUAUAAUUAGUCAGCGGUAUGGUCACUAUCAGCAGCUUUACACACAGUGUGCAUCGUGAAUACAUCAAUCCCAGA
rnacentral:lncRNA from 1 species